rnacentral:rRNA from 1 species
CGAGCUUGAUCCUGGCUCAGAACGAAUGCUGGCGGCAGGCCUAACACAUGCAAGUCGAGCGAACGACCAACAACAGGUUGUUAGCGGCAAACGGGUGAGUAACACGUGAGAAUCUACCUUGUUCAACGGGAUAGCUUAAGGAGACUUAAGGUAAUAACGUAUGAUUCCCGCAACGGGUAAAUGAAUAUUUCGGAACAAGAUGAGCUUGCGGUAGAUUAGCUAGUUGGUGGGGUAAAAGCCUACCAAGGCAUAGAUCUAUAGCUGGUCUGAGAGGACAAACAGCCACAUUGGGACUGAGACAAGGCCCAGACCUCUACGGAGGGCAGCAGUGAGGAAUAUUGGACAAUGGGCUAACGCCUGAUCCAGCCAUGCCGCAUGAGUGAUUAUGAAGAUCUUCGGAUUGUAAAACUCUUAAGCUGAUUAUUAAUAUGUGAUAAUAUCAGUUAAAGCUCCGGCCAACUUCGUGCCAGCAGCCGCGGUAAUACGAGGGGAGCGAGUGUUGUUCGGUUUUAUUGGGCGUAAAGAGCAUUUAGGCUGUUCUAUAAGUUGACAAUCAAAUCUUGGAACUUAAGUCCAUGGCGGUUGUCAAGACUGUUUAACUAAGAACUUGGUGGGGAUGAUCAUUAUUCCAAGUGUAGAGGUGAAAUUCGUUGAUAUUUGGAGGAGUACCAAAGGCGGAGGCAGAUCAUCAUGCUAAGUUGACGCUGAAAGUGCGAAAGCAUGGGGAGCAAACAGGAUUAGAUACCCUGGUAGUCCAUGCCCUAAACGAUGAGUGCCAACAGUUAAGCGAUUAUAUGUUCGGGCAUAUGUCUCGUUCCAUAUUUCGUUGAUUGUACAGCUAACGCGUUAAGCACUCCGCCUGGGGAUUACGACCGCAAGGUUAAAACUUAAAGGAAUUGACGGAGACCCGCACAAGCGGUGGAGCACGUGGUUUAAUUCGAAGCUACACGAAGAACCUUACCAGCCCUUGACAUUUUUGGUUAAACCUGUUGGAAACAACAUGCCGCUUACAACAAAGUAAGAAGACCCUGAACAGGUGCUGCAUGGCUGUUGUCAGCUCGUGUCGUGAGAUGUAUGGUUAAGUUCCAUAACGAGCACAACCCUCUCUCAUAGUUGCCGAAACCAAACAAUGAGUGGCUCUCUAUGAGGACUGCCAACGUAAGUUGGAGGAAGGAGAGGAUCACAACAAGUCAUCAUGGCCCUUAUGGGCUGGGCUACACACGUGCUACAAUGGCAACUACAAAGAGCCGCAACACCGUGAGGUAGAGCAAAUCUCAAAAAGUUGUCUUAGUUCGGAUUGUACUCUGCAACUCGAGUACAUGAAGUAGGAAUCGCUAGUAAUCGUGGAUCAGCAUGCCACGGUGAAUACGUUCCCGGGUCUUGUACACACCGCCCGUCACACCAUGGAAGUUCAUCCCGUUUCAAGUUCCCUACAAGGAACGUAGAUGGGGUUAGUGACCGAGGUGAAGUCGUAACAAGGUAGCCGUAGGUGAACCUGUGGCUGAAAGUAAC